GCCUGAGUGGCUCAGCAAUUGAGCAUCUGCCUUCAACUCAGGGUGUGAUCUUGGGGCCUGGGAUCGAAUCCCACAUCAGGCU
rnacentral:tRNA from 1 species